UAGAAACAUGGUCUCUUCCUGGAUCUCCAGCCUGCCAGCCUUUGAACUAGAACUAUACUGUUGGCUCUCUUGGGUCUCCAGCUGACUGACUACAGAUCUUGGGACUCGUCAGCCUGCAUAAUCAUGUAGACCUUUUUGGGUCAGAAUUGUGGAGAAAACAUCUGAGUCAGAUUAUUAGGAUCUGAUGUGCAGGCUCAGCCAGCACCAAAGGGGCAAUGUGAGGAAAAUGAAUGUCAUUGAAAAUAAUAUGCUCAGAAAAGCUCUUUGUAUGCACCAAGUCUGGACCUAUAACAUGGAAGAUUAUGAUCCACUAACCCUCCAGAUGACAGAAGCAAAGGAAGUUAAUUUGCUUGGGGUGAAAAUAGUUAAGCAGAUGUCAUAAUAACAGUGGAAGAACACAUGCUUUAAACAGUUGAGAAAAACUAAGGAUUACAGUGACGCCAAGCAAGGGCCAAGAUGUGGUCAAAACUUUGUGCUAACCUGCCCUGAAGUUGCCUAUUUCCAGCUUGGCCAUUUCUCUCUGUCUUGCCUCAGUGAACUCCGACUUUCCUUGACCGUUAACCCCUAACUGGAAUGCACAAGGCCUGGACGCCUCUGUGGGCCCCGAUUCACCUCUCGCAAUGAGCUUCCCUUCCUGGCACUGAACUGCAAGGCAAUAUUUUCCAUCUGUUGAAUGAAGAGCAUGACACAGGCAGCUGGAUAUGGUUUUGGAGCCCAGGGCAAACCAACGAUGCACAACUCACUUUUAUUCCACAAGCCUGUGGGAGCCCAAAGAGAUAAGAGGCCUUUCUGCUAGGCUGAACACAGAGCCUGGCAUUCAGAAACAAACCCUCCUUCCUGAAAUACUCAAUAUGUUUUUUAUUCAAGCCAGAAACAUUGUGGGUUGGAAUAAUCUAAGGAUGAAUCUAAUCUGAAGUUAUCUUGAAACGUGAAAACAGAAUUCAUAAAAGGCUGAGACACUUGCUCAAGGUCAGCCACUGCUACGCGGUCAAAGUGGAAUUUAAACCUGAAUGUGCCUGAUUAAAAAAGCCCAAUUCUUGGGAGGCAGAAGACCUACAUAGACAUUUCUCAAAAGAAGACAUACAGAUGUCCAACAGACACAUGAAAAGAUGCUCAACAUCA